rnacentral:rRNA from 1 species
AGAGUUUGAUCAUGGCUCAGGACGAACGCUGGCGGCGUGCUUAACACAUGCAAGUCGAACGGAAAGGCCCUUCGGGGUACUCGAGUGGCGAACGGGUGAGUAACACGUGGGUGAUCUGCCCUGCACUUUGGGAUAAGCCUGGGAAACUGGGUCUAAUACCGAAUAGGACCGCAUGCUUCAUGGUGUGUGGUGGAAAGCUUUUGCGGUGUGGGAUGAGCCCGCGGCCUAUCAGCUUGUUGGUGGGGUAAUGGCCUACCAAGGCGACGACGGGUAGCCGGCCUGAGAGGGUGACCGGCCACACUGGGACUGAGAUACGGCCCAGACUCCUACGGGAGGCAGCAGUGGGGAAUAUUGCACAAUGGGCGCAAGCCUGAUGCAGCGACGCCGCGUGAGGGAUGACGGCCUUCGGGUUGUAAACCUCUUUCAGUAGGGACGAAGCGAAAGUGACGGUACCUACAGAAGAAGGACCGGCCAACUACGUGCCAGCAGCCGCGGUAAUACGUAGGGUCCGAGCGUUGUCCGGAAUUACUGGGCGUAAAGAGCUCGUAGGUGGUUUGUCGCGUUGUUCGUGAAAACUCACAGCUUAACUGUGGGCGUGCGGGCGAUACGGGCAGACUAGAGUACUGCAGGGGAGACUGGAAUUCCUGGUGUAGCGGUGGAAUGCGCAGAUAUCAGGAGGAACACCGGUGGCGAAGGCGGGUCUCUGGGCAGUAACUGACGCUGAGGAGCGAAAGCGUGGGUAGCGAACAGGAUUAGAUACCCUGGUAGUCCAA